rnacentral:rRNA from 1 species
AUGUUAGUACACAACCUCAGUAUCAUCAACUGGAACGUCAGGGGGCUGAACUAUCCAAACAGAAGAGCCAUUGUUCAUGAGACCAUUGCUUCCUCCUCAUGUAAUGUCAUUUGCCUUGAAGAGUCGAAGCUAGAAUCGCUUGAUUGCUUCACAGCAUCCUUCCUUGGAGGCUCCAGGCUGCAAAGUUUUGCUUUCCGGCCUACCGUAGGUACUCGAGGGGGUAUUGUGUUGCUGUGGGAUGAUUCCUACAUCUCAGCGUCCAACAUUGUCCUAGGGGAGUUCCAUUUGUCUGCCACCAUUAAGAUUAUCAAUUCGGAUGUGGAGUUUUUGCUCACAAGCGUGUAUGGGCCCUUAGCCAACAACAGGAAGGAUGAUUUCUUUGCCGAGAUGGCCGCGCUUAAGCCGACUACCAAUGUUAAAUGGCUUGUCACUGGAGAUUUUAACCAGAUUUACCGGGCACGAGACAAGAACACGUGGAAUGCUAAUAUUUCGCGCAUCAACUAUUUUAGAGCCGCCCUAAAUUCUUGUGAGCUAAAAGAAAUCCGCCUCCAGAAUAGAAAGUUCACUUGGAGCAACGAGAGGAUUGAUCCAACUCUUUGCAAACUCGAUAGUUUCUUCUGCAACUCAGAUUGGGACCUGCUCUUUGAUAGUCACAUCCUAACCGCGCUCUCUUCCUCCCUCUCCAAUCAUUGCCCGCUCCUCCUCUCUAGUGACCGAGGACCCAAAUGACCGAGGAUUUUUUGUUUUGAGAAUUUCUGGACCAAGUUGCCGGGUUUUCAAUAGGUGGUCGCCGACUGCUGGGGAAAGCCUUUUGUGCACACUGAGCCAUGUCAAAAGCUGCAUGACAAGCUCUGUCGAACGGGUCUCCACCUCCGACGAUGGAGUAACACCUUAUUUUCCACCGCUAAGAUUCAACUACACAUGGCUCUUGAGGUCAUUCUCCGACUCGAUAUGGCCAUGGAUUCUCGAGCCCUCUCCCCGGAGGAGAAUGAUUUGAGGAGAAGGCUCAAGAGGAGGGUCAUUGGCCUGUCUAUCCUUGAGCGAUCGUGCAAAUGCCAAUGCUCUCGUAUCACCAACCUUAAGGAGGGAGACGCCAACACGAGAUAUUUUCAUCUCCGGGUCAAUGGUCGCAGGCGAAAGAACUUCAUUCAUCAUCUCCGGAAUGGUGCAGGAUGGUGA